GUACUAUUACCUCCGUCCCAGAAAGCUUGUCUUGAUUUAUCUAGAUACGGGUGUAUCUAACACUAAAACGUCUCUAGAUACAUCCGUAUCUAGAAAAAUCUAGGACAAUCUUUCUGGGAUGGAGGGAGUAUUUU
rfam:Triticum aestivum genome assembly, contig: Triticum_aestivum_CS42_TGACv1_scaffold_251226_3DL